rnacentral:rRNA from 1 species
AGUGAACGCUGGCGGUAGGCCUAACACAUGCAAGUCGAACGGCAGCACAGGAGAGCUUGCUCUCUGGGUGGCGAGUGGCGGACGGGUGAGGAAUACAUCGGAAUCUACUUUUUCGUGGGGGAUAACGUAGGGAAACUUACGCUAAUACCGCAUACGACCUACGGGUGAAAGCAGGGGACCUUCGGGCCUUGCGCGAUUGAAUGAGCCGAUGUCGGAUUAGCUAGUUGGCGGGGUAAAGGCCAACCAAGGCGACGAUCCGUAGCUGGUCGGAGGGGAUGAUCAGCCGCACUGGAACUGGGACACGGUCCCGACUCCUACGGGAGGCAGCAGUGGGGAAUAUUGGACAAUGGGCGCAAGCCUGAUCCAGCCAUACCGCGUGGGUGAAGAAGGCCUUCGGGUUGUAAAGCCCUUUUGUUGGGAAAGAAAUCCAGCUGGCCAAUACCCGGUUGGGAUGACGGUACCCAAAGAAUAAGCACCGGCUAACUUCGUGCCAGCCGCCGCCGUAA